UUAAAGCGGUACGCGAGCUGGGUUCAGAACGUCGUGAGACAGUUCGGUCCCUAUCCGUCGUGGGCGUAGGAAAUUUGAGAGGAGCUGUCCUUAGUACGAGAGGACCGGGAUGGACGCACCGCUGGUGUACCAGUUGUUCUGCCAAGGGCAUAGCUGGGUAGCUAUGUGCGGAAGGGAUAAGUGCUGAAAGCAUCUAAGCAUGAAGCCCCCCUCAAGAUGAGAUUUCCCAUAGCGUAAGCUAGUAAGAUCCCUGAAAGAUGAUCAGGUUGAUAGGUUCGAGGUGGAAGCAUGGUGACAUGUGGAGCUGACGAAUACUAAUAGAUCGAGGACUUAACCAU
rnacentral:rRNA from 1 species